CCGAGUUUACAACUCCCAAACCCAUGUGAACAUACCUACUGUUGCUUCGGCGGGAUGCCCCCGGCGCCUCUGCGUGCCCGGGAGUCAGGCCCCCGCCGGAGGAUUCAAACUCUUGUUUUUAUAUAGAACUUCUGAGUGGAUAUAUAUAAAUAAUUA
rnacentral:misc_RNA from 1 species